rnacentral:lncRNA from 1 species
AUGGCAAAACAGAAACAAAGCUAUUAUUGAGGGUCGUUAUUGUGCACAAGAUGUGAUUUUUAACAGAGCCCAUCACUUGGCUGGUGAAUAUGGAAGUCUUGUAGAAGGGGAACCUAAAUUAUUUGUAGAGAAACCAACUAAAUGGUCUCCUCCUCCAGCUGGUAAAUAUAAACUAAAUGUUGAUGCUGCUUUUAUUCCCGAAACAGGUGUGGGUGGAAUUGGCGCUGUUGUUAGAAAUGACAAAGGGGAAGUGAUGGCGGCUAUGGCCCUUCCUCUUGCCAGAGCCACCUCAUCUAAACAUGCGGAGAUCAUGGUGUUUCUUUUCGGGAUGAAAUUUGCUUGGGAUGCUGGUUUUCUUCCAUUUUAAUUGAAUCUGAUUCACAAGGGGUGGUAAAUGAUGUAAAGAAGGACGAAGAAGAGUCUUGGGCAUCAGAUGGGCAUCUUAUUGAUGAUAUUAAGAGGAGUCUGCAACACUUUGAAGAUGUUAUUAUCUCUUUUAGUCCAAGAGGGGUUAACCAAGUAGUGCAUUUUCUAGCAAAGCAUGCUCUUAAUUGUAAUACUAUGGUAACUUGGAUUGAAGAGGUUCCCUUCUGGCUAGAAUCAAUUGUAAACGAUGACAUGGUUGUAUCCUCUUAA